rfam:Euryarchaeota archaeon TMED248 80644, whole genome shotgun sequence.
GUGCACGGUCAUAGCGGAGGUGUUUACCUGGUCUCAUUCCGAACCCAGAAGUCAAGCCCUCCCACGUCUAUCCCAAUACUGUGGUACGAGAGUCCACGGGAAAGGAAGUCACUGUGCCCC